AUUGUUUUUUGAUAAUUUUGGCAGGUAUUUUUAAGAAUCCAGACGUGAAGCUGUGUGCAGUUGAAAGUGAAAAUUAAUAAUUCUUAUUAUUUGGCAGGAAGUGAUUUGCAAAUUUGCUGUGUUCCACCAAAUUUAUUUGUGCUAAAUUUUAACGCUUCUUUGAGAGAUUAUUAUCAUCGAGGAGGGAGGAAAAUUAUUGAUAAGUCUUGCAGGUGCUGGGAGGUUUCCGAAAUGCCUCGCCCAAGUCGAAAUCGCUCUCAAGUUAGCCUUUCCUCACAAGAUUUGUCGGCUUCUCAGUCCACAGUCUUAACCCUUCGAGAGA